rnacentral:rRNA from 1 species
AGUGAACGCUGGCGGUAGGCCUAACACAUGCAAGUCGAACGGCAGCACAGUAAGAGCUUGCUCUUACGGGUGGCGAGUGGCGGACGGGUGAGGAAUACAUCGGAAUCUACUUUUUCGUGGGGGAUAACGUAGGGAAACUUACGCUAAUACCGCAUACGACCUACGGGUGAAAGCAGGGGAUCUUCGGACCUUGCGCGAUUGAAUGAGCCGAUGUCGGAUUAGCUAGUUGGCGGGGUAAAGGCCCACCAAGGCGACGAUCCGUAGCUGGUCUGAGAGGAUGAUCAGCCACACUGGAACUGAGACACGGCCCAGACUCCUACGGGAGGCAGCAGUGGGGAAUAUUGGACAAUGGGCGAAAGCCUGAUCCAGCCAUACCGCGUGGGUGAAGAAGGCCUUCGGGUUGUAAAGCCCUUUUGUUGGGAAAGAAAAGCAGCAGGUUAAUACCCCGCUGUUCUGACGGUACCCAAAGAAUAAGCACCGGCUAACUUCGUG